AGCGAACGCUGGCGGCGUGCCUAACACAUGCAAGUCGAACGUGAAAGGGAGCAAUCCUGAGUAAAGUGGCGUACGGGUGAGUAACGCGUAGGUAAUCUACCCUGAAGUUUGGAAUAACCGGCCGAAAGGCUGGCUAAUACUGGAUAGAGCGACGGAAUCCGUAAUUGGGUUUUUCGGGAAAGGGAGGAAGCAAUUCCCUUCGCUUUGGGAUGAGCCUGCGUCUCAUUAGCUAGUUGGCGGGGUAAUGGCCCACCAAGGCAGUGAUGAGUAGCUGGUCUGAGAGGAUGAUCAGCCACACUGGAACUGAAACACGGUCCAGACUCCUACGGGAGGCAGCAGUGGGGAAUCUUGCGCAAUGGACGAAAGUCUGACGCAGCCACGCCGCGUGAGUGAAGAAGGCCUUUGGGUUGUAAAGCUCUGUCGCCCCGGGACGAAAAUUAUUUGGUUAAUAGCCAGUAAUCUGACGGUACCGGGAAAGGAAGCACCGGCUAACUCCGUGCCAGCA
rnacentral:rRNA from 1 species